GUCCUCGUGGCGGAAUUGGCAUACGCGUACGGCUUAGGACCGUAUCCUUAAAAGGGUUGUGGGUUCAACUCCCACCGAGGACA
rnacentral:tRNA from 1 species